rnacentral:lncRNA from 1 species
CUGUCUCUUUCCAAAAUUAUUUCCUCUUGCUUCCAUCUUUGUAUCAUUCCCCACCUCGUUUUUCAGAAUCCUUUCCUUCUGCCUAUAAACAUGUUCGACUCUCCUGUAACCUCAUAAAAACUCUUCUCUUGAUCCUAUUUCAUCCUGAAGCUACUUUCUCUUCCUGUCACUAAAAAUUUCUUGCAAAAGUACUCAGCUCUGCUAAUUCCAGAUUGUCUCAUGAGCUUAUUUAUUGCAGACGUCCCCACCACCACUUCUAGGACAGUGCUUAAGAGCCACAAGCUCCUAUUGAGAAGUGGCAUUAAAAGACAACUAAAGAAUUUCCUGUCACGUUACCUGGCAACAAUAUGUCUCAGCUCUUGAUAUUUAUUAGCCGAUCCACUCCUUGCCCUGGGACCCUGCCCAUGUGUUCCCUGUCUAUAGCUCUUGAUCAUCUGUUGAUAUCUUGAAUCUAGCCUUUGGUGGCUGCACAUACCUAGUUCCCAACCCUCCCAUGAUAAACCCUCCACGAUGCAUCUGGGAGGUCCUAUUUGGCUACAAGGAUUUCCAGACUUCAGUCUCUUAAUCCAAGGAACACCCAUUCCUGGUAUUCCUCAUGUUUGAGAAAUCCCACUUAUGUUGUGUACCCUUCAUUGACCACACAACUGCAAAACAAAAUGCCUUUUCCCGAUUCUUCCAUCUAAUAGUUCAGUUGAGUGCUGUCUCCUCCUUGAGAACGUCUCAUUUCUUAGUCCACAUACUACCAACCUUCAUGCUCCGAACUCUAGGCAGCCUCUCUCUCAGUCCCCUUCAACAAAUCCUUAUAGUCUUCCUUCUCCUUAAACGAUAAGACCUAUACAAGAUCAAUAAGCCAUCUUGUUCUCUCUCUGUACAAUCUCUUCAAUCAAUAUCCCUUCUAUGGGUGGAUUGCCAACUCAAUAUCAAAAACUGUCACAUCUCUCUUUUCCUUCCUUAGCUUUUUUGGGUUUUUUUUUGUUUUGUUUUGUUUUUGCUGCCCUUGGCAGCAUGUGGAAGUUCCUGGGCCAGGGAUUGAACUCAUGCCACAGCAGUCAUUAACACUUUUGACUCCUAAUUUUUGCUGAGCUCCUGUAUUCAAUCGGUAUCUGAGUACUGUGGAUUUUAUUUCUAGACCAUCCCUGCAUCUAUUCAAUAUUGCCCAGUCCUGCUACAGUUGUCAUAAGCUUUCAUCACAUUAAUUUUAACAGCUUGUAAUUAAUUUCUUUGCAGUUUCUUCUCAUCAAACAUACCAUUUUUAAAUCUGCCUUUUUAAAAUUCAAUUGCAAUCAAGUCAUCCAUCUGUUUAAAAAUGUUAAAUGAUAAUGAUGAGACGAUUCAUCAUUGCCUACAGUUUUUAGAACCAAUUCCCCACAACCCGCCAUCUUCGGUAUACUCACUCUCCACUUCUUCGGGAGGCCCACAGAAGCAUUUCCCGACUCAACGUCUCCCUCAACAUUUAUAAGGGGCUUUGCUCAUGUCUUUUAUUCUGCCUUCCAAAACUUUUUCUCAGUAUCUCAGACUCUUUUUUAAAUGUUGCCUGUUAUGAUUUCAAGGCUAAGGCAGGACAUAUUUAAGGUAUGCCAAGUUGUUUUGUUAAGAAGUAAGGAAGCCAUGGAGUUCCCUUCAUGGCUCAGUGGUUAACCCACCCAAUUAGGAUCCAUGAGGAUCCCUGGCCUCGCUCAGCUGGGUAAGGAUCUGGCAUUGCCAUGAGCUGGGAUGUAGGUCGCAGACACAGCUCAGACCCCACGUUGCUGUGGCUGUGGCGUAGGCCAGUAGCUGCAGCUCCAGUUCCACCCCUAGCCUGGGAACCUCACAUGCUGCAGGUGUGGCCCUAAAAAGCAACACCAGGUCCUUAACCCACUGCACCACAGCAGGAACUCCCAUUUUUACUACUGGCAUUCUAUUUUUUUCCUAAGAUAUAUAUAUAGAUAGAUAUUAUAUAUCUAAUAAUAUAGAAGCUAUACUAUCCAUGAAAUCACUUUUAGAUGUCAAGACUUCAUUUCAAAUUUAUGUAAAUGUCCUUGAGUGAUAAAUGGCCAUUCUUUGAUACCAAGAAUUCUAGAAAGAAUCAACACCUUAGAAGACCAAAAAAUUUUAAGUAUUCUUUUUUAUUUUCACUAUUUUAAAGUUAAUUUUAUUCAAUGUACAAUGUAUAUGAAAAUUUAUGUAUUAUUAUUUUGUCUAUUACCUCAAGUGCUUUGGCAAGUAAUGUUACUGUAAAAAAGGAGAAUAACCUAUUAGUAACCUGUUAGAUUAUAACCAUCAAUAUCAAUUUUAUUGCUGCCCAGUAAAGUUGGUUAUGGGUUAACUAUAUGUAACAAACCACUAUUGACAAUUAUAAAUAAUGUACCAAUAACAGAAAAACAAAAUAAUUUUAAAUAUUUCAAGAAACUAAGCGUCUUCCAUCUGGCCUACUAUUGGAAAAAUAAUAAAUCAAAAGUUAUCUGAUUAUUUUCUUUCCAUUACUAUCCCAAGAAAAAUUAUAAAGCAUUUCCAGCACUUCACUUUUCCUUGAUUCUACUUAUCCAAAUACAAAAUAAACUCCCCUUCCUGACAUUGUUGUGUCAUUACCAGAGUUGCUUUAAGUAAUUAAAGAAAUACAUCUGAAAAUCUCAAAUAACAGAACAAUAAAUUUAUGCCGACUCCAGUAGCAAAGUGAAGUGGGAAUGUAGGUAAAAGACUGGAUUAGUCACUGUUCAAAAGACAAUUUAAUCUCCAUGAUAAGAAUAAUCCAUAUCAGCACUGUCCAUAAAACAUUCAGUGAUGAAGAAAAUGCUCCUUACACCUGCACUGCCCAAUACGAAAGUCACUAGACGUGUGGGACUAGUGCCACUUGGUAAGUAGUUAAAAUGGCCAAAGAACUUAAUUUUUAUUCUAUUUAAACUUAAUUAAUUAAAUUGUCCCAUGUGACUAAUUACAAUAUAGACAGUACAAAUCUAAAUAACUGCUUCCACCCUUGACUUCUAAUUAUUAAUUAGUGUGAACAUUUUCAGUAACAAAUGCACACAAGCAAAAAGCACAAAUAGACCAUUCACAAUGGAAAAUAUAACUACUAAUAAUUAUUGACUAUCCGUAUGUGCUAAACACUAUCCUAGGGUCUUUUCAAAUGUUAUCUGAUGUAACACUUGGAAGAUCCACAUGACAUAGAUGCCAUAUAUACUUAGAUUUUGCAAAGCAGGAAGAAAACCACAGAGAAGUUAAGCAACUUCCUCAAAAAUACCAUCAUAUAUACUUAGAUUUUACAAAGCAGGAAGAAAACCACAGAGAAGUUAAGUAACUUCCUCAAAAAUACCAUCUAGUAUUGGCAGUCAGGAUUUGAACUCAAGUGGUCUGAUGCCACAGCUGAUGAAACUGUAAUUUUACUACACUCGUCAGUGUAAAACCACCUACCUUGGUUAGUAAUCAAAGAGUCAUAGCGAAUUAAAAUAAAGAAGGUUAUAAAUGUCAUUCAUUAAAUUAGCAAACACUUAAAAGGUUAAAGAGCCCAAUAAAUAACCUUAUUAUUAUUGCAGGUAGAAGAAUGAAAUGGCCAAGUAAUCUAAUUUGGCAAUAAGAACUAAGAAUAACAAUAAUAACUUUUACCAGUUUCCCAUUUCUGGGAAUUUAUUCUACAGUAAAGAAAUUCCAUAUAUACUUAAAAUACACACAGAUAUUCAUAGGCUGCCAUUAUUUCACCAAUAGGCAAAAGUUGAUAUAAUAUAGGUUUAAAUUAAUAGCUUAAUGAUUGACUAUGAUACCUAGUAGAAUAUUAAACACCUAAUUAAACUGUUUAAGUGAUAACAUGGAAAAGUUUAUGAUGUAAACUCCUAUGUUAGGUAAAAAUUAGAAAAUAAAAUCUAUUAAUAUGGUAUAAGACAACUUUAAGAAGAAAUUAUGACACGAAAUUAUGAUAACUGAGUUGUAGAAUAAGAGACAAAGUGUUUUUCCUCUAUUUUCCAAAUUUUGGCCACAGACAUGGGAUUUGAGGAGAGUAAGUUAUUUAGGUUGAAGCUAUCAGUGAAAAAUAUCACACCUGUUACUCAAGUGCAACCAACCGAGGAUUUUUUAAAACACAGAAUCCCAGGUCCCACCCAGGAAUUAUUGAAUCAGCAUAACAAGACCCCAGGUGACUUUUAUGCACAUUAAAGUUUGAGAAGCCCAGAUAAAACAUGCUACAGGUAAUGAACAUUUGCUGCUUCUUGGAAAUCUAUCCUCCAGGCUAUAAUAACUCACCAAGGAUUGAAGUCAACCCCCCUCAAUUAUCAAGGACCUAUUUCCAUAUAGGACAUCUUUAUAAACAAGGAGUAAUCCUGCCGCCAUUACGGUAUAUGCAAAUGACUCACUAAAUAUUCCGUCUUUUAGAAUCUUGACAUUUUGAACACCAAAUGUCUCCUCCAGUCCACUUCAGCGCUUCACUCCAAUAGUCUGACCCUAGACCUAGGAUCAGUAAACUGGAGCUAUAAACUCUUCACUAGCAUUAGGCAUCCAUCCUCUUUAAUUCAUUUUGCCAAGAAUUGCCAUGGAAUUCUUCCUGAAAUGCUGCAAUAUUUUACCACGCUUACUCUCUGUUCAACUAUUCACUAUUACCUUUCCAACAUCUACCCAGUUGUUGGAGAAUUUUUGUUCAAUUACUCCUUUCUCCUACCUAGCAACCCUUGGAGCAUGAGAGAAUGUCUUAUCAUCUCUCUAAAGAAAUACUUAGGUCAGUUCCCAUCUCAAAGCAGGCACUCAGUAAAUGUUUGAAGAAGGGCACAGUCAUAUUUUUUUCCCACUUUCAAGAAUCUUUACACUUGGCCAUCUGCACUCAGUACAAAUUCCCUCAUUUUGCAAAUAAGGAAGCUGAUGCCCAGGACUUAGAAAUGGAAUGUGUAACAAAAGUAGGGGGAAAAAAAAAAAAACCCUCAGGCUUUCUGCCUCUAAAAUCACAAUUUUUCAUUUCAGUAGAUUUUUUUUUUUUUUCAGUUUACCAUUGUGCCUAAAUCUCAAGCCCUAUCAACCUGCUCACAUCUGCGACCUACACCACAGCUCAAGGCAACGCCAUAUCCUUAACCCACUGAUCGAGGCCAGGGAUCAAACCCACGUCCUCAUGGUUCCUAGUCAGAUUCAUUUCCACUGCGCCACAGCAGGAACUCCUAUAGAGAAGAUCUUAAGUGUUCUUACCCCCUCUGCAAAAAAAGGUAACAGCAUGAGCUGAUGGAUAAAUCCACUAGCUUGAUUGUAGUGAUCAUCCUAUUAUGUACAAAGACGUCAAACCAUCAAGAUGUACACUUUAAAUACCUACAAUUUCUAUUUGUCAAUUAUUUCCAAUAAAGCUGAAAAAAAAAUCACAAGUUCUCUGUAUAAUUUCAGCUUGGACAGCCAUAUGAUGGGUUCUCUAAUGCAGGGAAAGUAAGGAAUGCCUCUGCUUGGUUUUUGAUAUAUGUUUGUUCUAUCUCCUUCUCAACUAGAUUGUGAACUACUUGAGAAUGGUAUCCUGCUGUAAUUUUUUUUAACUGAGGUAAAAUUCACAUAACAUAAAAUUCACCAUUUUAACCAUUUUAAAGUGUACAAGCAUCUCCGGCUUAUUGGUCAUUUGUAUCUCUUUGGAGAAAUGCCUAUUCAAGCUCUUCCUCCAUUUUUAAAUUGAGUUGUUUAUCUUCUUGUUGUUGCGUUGUAAAAGUUCUUUACAUAUUCUGGAUGAUACUCUUAACAGAUAUAUGAUUUACAAAUAUUUUCUGCCACCUUAUUGGUUGUCUUUUCACUUUCUUAGGAGUACCAUUUGAUGCAGAAGAGUUUUUAAUGUUGACAAAGUCCAAUUUAUAUAUUUUUUAUUUUGUUGCUUGUGCUUUUUGGUGUUAUAGCUAAGAAUAUGCCAUGUGCAAGGUAAUACAUUUGUACCCUUAUGUUUUCUCCUAAGAGCUUGAUAUUUUUAGCUGUUAUAUUUAGGUUAUGGAUCUAUUUAGAGUUAAUUUUUGUAUAAUGUGUGAGAUAAGGGUCUAAUUCAUUUUAUAGCAUAUGGCUAUCCAGUUAUCCCAGAACCAUUUGUUGAGGUGACCACUGUUUUUCCCCACUGAAUGGUCUUGACUUCCAUAUCACAAAUCAAGUGGCCAUAGAUAUAUGGGUUUAUUUCUGAACUCUCAAUUCUAUUUUAUUGAUCUAUAUAUCCUUAAGCUGCUAUCAUGCUGUUUUUAUUACUGAGUUUGUACUGAGGUUUGAAAUUGUGAAAUGUGAAUCCUUCAACUUUGUUUUUUUCAAGAUUGUUUUGGCUAUUCAGGGUUCCUUGCAAUUCCACAUGAGUAUGUCUCUAUACUAACAUAUUUGGGAAUUUGAUAGAUAUUAUAUUGAAUGUAUAGCCCAAUUGGGAAAAUAUUGCCAUCUUAACUAAAUUAACUCUUCCAAUGCAUUAACACAGGAUAUGCUUCCAUCUAUUCAGCUCUUUAAAAACUUCCUUUGGUACUAUUCUGUAAUUUUCAGUGUGAGAAUUGUGCACUUCUUUGGUUUAAUUUACUCCUUUUUGAUACUUUGUAAGUGGAAAUGUUAAUUUUAUUUUUGGAUUGCUCAUUGCUAGUGCAGAGAAAUACAGUUUUUGUAUUUUGACCUUGUAUCUGCAGAUUUUCUAAAUUCAUUGAUUAACUCUAACAGUUUGGGAAUUUGGUGGGGGAGUGGAUUCCUUGGAUUUUCUCACAGAUCAUACUAUCUGUGAGUUGAGAUAAUUUUACUUCUUCCUUCCCAGUUUACCUUCUAUUUCUUUUUCUUGCCUAAUUGCUUUGGCUAGAACUUCCAGUAUAAUGUUGAAUAGAAGUGGCCAGAGUGGAUAUCUUUGUCCUGUUCUUGAUCUUGAGGGUAAAGCUUUCCUUCACUCUUUCCCCACUAAGUGUGAUAUUAUAUGGCUGUGGGUCUUUUAUAAAUGGUCUUUAUCAUGUUUAGGAAGUUCCCUUAUAUUCCUAGGGUGUUAAGUGUUUUUAUCAUAAAAGGUGCUGGAUUUUGUCAGAUGCUUUCUCUGUAUCAAUUGAGAUGAUUAUGGGAAAAUUUUUCCUUCAUUCUCUUAAUGUGGUGCAUUAAUUGAUGUUUGUAUGUUGAGCUGCCCGUGUAUUCCUGGGAUGAAUCCCACUUGAUCAUGUAUUAUAAUCCUUUUAAUGUCCUGUUGAAGUCGGUUUCUAGUAUUUUGUCAGGGAUAUCUGCACCUCUAUUUAUAAGGCAUAUCAGUCUGUAGUUUUCUUGUGAUUUCUUUGUCUGGCUUUAGUAUCAAAGUUAUGAUGGCUUCAUAGAAUGAGUUAAGAAGUGAAACUUAUUCUGUUUUUUCAGAAGAGUUUGAGAAUUCUAUCAAAUGUUAAUUCUUUAAACAUUUGAUAGAAUUCAAAAAUGGUAUAUUUUUCAGUUUGCGUGUUUGUUUGGGUGUGCAUGUGUGUACCCUCAUUGUACUUAGAAGCAUAUUUGACGUAGAAAAGGAGAUAUUUAAAGAUGUAGAUGAAUUUCAAGCCAAGAAAGAAAAAAUCAUUAAAAAAAAAAAGGUAAGUAAGUCAACUUGAGUAUACACACCUUUUAGGAAAUGUGUUCAUUGUGUGAAUAUGUUCAUCGAAUGUCAUCUCAGC